rnacentral:rRNA from 1 species
UACGUAGGGCGCAAGCGUUAUCCGGAAUUAUUGGGCGUAAAGAGCUCGUAGGCGGUUUGUCGCGUCUGCCGUGAAAGUCCGGGGCUCAACUCCGGAUCUGCGGUGGGUACGGGCAGACUAGAGUGAUGUAGGGGAGACUGGAAUUCCUGGUGUAGCGGUGAAAUGCGCAGAUAUCAGGAGGAACACCGAUGGCGAAGGCGGGUCUCUGGAACGGUACUGACGCUGAGACGCGAAAGCGUGGGGAGCGAACAGG